UGUACUGGAGGCUGUCCUUGCAUAACUGUGAGUCUGAGGCUAAGGAAAUAACAUCACCACUGUGAGCCUGGAGAAAGAAUGCACAAUGGUGAUUCCAAAACCAAAGGAGACAGAUUUUCAGUCCCACUGGGAUAGACCAGUUUCCAAGGCUUGGUCCCAUCAAAGCUAGAAGUGCCUUCAGUUCAGCGGUGGAGCAGAUGAUGCUCAAAAGAACAAAUCAGGAAAGAGGAAAGAAUAAAAGGCCAUUUGUGGUACAUCUGAAUCAGCCUGGUGAAUAAGAUUUGGGUUCCUCAAGACAGAGAAGGAGACUGUCCCAACGCGUCCCGCAGCCCACCCUGCCUCGAAACUCCCUGCGGUGAUGUCGGGGCUAGAGGAAUCCAGGGCUUGGU